rnacentral:rRNA from 1 species
UAUAAGCACUUGUACUGUGAAACUGCGAAUGGCUCAUUAAAUCAGUUAUCGUUUAUUUGAUAGUACCUUACUACAUGGAUACCUGUGGUAAUUCUAGAGCUAAUACAUGCUAAAAACCCCGACUUCAGGAAGGGGUGUAUUUAUUAGAUAAAAAACCAACGCCCUUCGGGGCUCCUUGGUGAAUCAUAAUAACUUAACGAAUCGCAUGGCCUUGCGCCGGCGAUGGUUCAUUCAAAUUUCUGCCCUAUCAACUUUCGAUGGUAGGAUAGUGGCCUACCAUGGUGGCAACGGGUAACGGGGAAUUAGGGUUCGAUUCCGGAGAGGGAGCCUGAGAAACGGCUACCACAUCCAAGGAAGGCAGCAGGCGCGCAAAUUACCCAAUCCCGAUACGGGGAGGUAGUGACAAUAAAUACUGAUACGGGGCUCUUUUGGGUCUCGUAAUUGGAAUGAGAACAAUUUAAAUCCCUUAACGAGGAACAAUUGGAGGGCAAGUCUGGGCAACA